ensembl:lncRNA
CUUCUGGAGUAACCAGACCAGCAGCAGUUCUGGCAACACAGGACCCCCGUCGCUGUGCCCUGGGUGCAGGGGGACAGGAGACAGGCCUUGGCUGUUCUCCACCCAGGGGCUCAAGCAUUCCCCCCAGCCCCUGCCCCAGCUCAAGCGUCCCUCCAACCCCUCCCCCAAGCCCACUUUGCGCAUGCACACUUCCUGCUUGGUAUUCUGACUAUGAAGACCCUCUGGAUGAACCACUAGCUCUAGCUGUUGAUCUGGGUAAUGUAUCUCAAUUCAGAGUGAGAAAUUCUGAGACCAAGCAGGGAAAAGAUGUGUGAUGGAGGUAUUACUGAAGUGUUUCGCUGGGUAUGAGAUAAGCAAGAGGAGAAUUCCUGAGUUCUGGACCCUACUCUACCCCUAACAACCUGUGGGACUUGAGCACUAAUCCGGGCAGGAGCGAAGGCCUCAAUAUCUAGAUCUGGGCUUUGGACAUCAAGACAAAGCCAAUCCGACUCCUUCAGCACCUCUUCUUCGCUUGCCGCCAUCGCCGCUUGGCCUUCCGGAUAGCAUCCCGACUAGUUCCCACGGCAACCGGCCGGGCUCCCAAGUCCGGGUUCAGGACCUCCACGGCCGCAGCCCCGCCCCCCCCCCUCCACGGCCGCGAGAGGAGGGCGGGGGCCGGGUUGCCAAGGAAACGGGAGGACGCUAGGCAGCCGCCCCCACCGCCUCCGCCCCUAGCAAGCCCGGCCGCCGCCGCCAAAAGCUGCCUCCGGGGAGGAGGAGGAAGAGGGGCCGGUAGAGGCGGGAGAGAAGAGCGAGGAGGAAGAAGAGCACCGGGACAGCCCCGCGCGAUUGAUGGGCGGCUCCUCCGCCCUGGACCGGCCCGCCUGCCCCGCCCCUCGGCCCCUUUAGCCCCUUCCAGGGGGAGAGGACUGACCCGCAAGGUAACGGCCGGCCCGGCCGCCCCCGCGACCGCGCGGCCCCUGGUCCUCCGAGGAUGUGGGGGAAAAAGAUGGGAGAUCACUUUUCCUUGAGACGACUCCGAUUCUGGGACGGGGUUGAGGGGGAGGGGGGUGCGGAAUCCCGCCUAAAUCCUAAGGACUUGGUCACUCCCUCUCAGCUGGCCACACCCCCCGCAUUUUUCUACCUCAGACACGGUGUGGGGGUCCUGUAUUUGCACUCUGGCAGGCCCCUUGCAUCCACAUAACUUCCCCCCCAUACUCCAAGAGAAGUAUACGGUUCACGGCCCUUCCGGCCCCUCAGUGAGAAAUUAUUAGUAUUGUUG